rnacentral:rRNA from 1 species
CCAAACUGUUGCCUCGGCGGGGUCACGCCCCGGGCGCGUCGCAGCCCCGGAACCAGGCGCCCGCCGGAGGGACCAACCAAACUCUUUUCUGUAGUCCCCUCGCGGACGUUAUUUCUUACAGCUCUGAGCAAAAAUUCAAAAUGAAUCAAAACUUUCAACAACGGAUCUCUUGGUUCUGGCAUCGAUGAAGAACGCAGCGAAAUGCGAUAAGUAAUGUGAAUUGCAGAAUUCAGUGAAUCAUCGAAUCUUUGAACGCACAUUGCGCCCGCCAGUAUUCUGGCGGGCAUGCCUGUCCGAGCGUCAUUUCAACCCUCGAACCCCUCCGGGGGGUCGGCGUUGGGGACCUCGGGAGCCCCUAAGACGGGAUCCCGGCCCCGAAAUACAGUGGCGGUCUCGCCGCAGCCUCUCCUGCGCAGUAGUUUGCACAACUCGCACCGGGAGCGCGGCGCGUCCACGUCCGUAAAACACCCAACUUCUGAAAUGUUGACCUCGGAUCAGGUAGGAAUACCCGCUGAACUUAAGCAUAUCAAUAAGCCGGAGGAA